ACAAUGGGCGCAACAAAGGGCAGCAAGACCGCGAGGUGGAGCUAAUCCCAAAAAUACGCCCUCAGUUCAGAUUGCAGUCUGCAACUCGACUGCAUGAAGUUGGAAUCGCUAGUAAACGCAGGUCAGCUAUACUGCGUUGAAUACGUUCCCGGGGUUUGUACACACUGCCCGUCAAGUGAUCCGAAUUGUCUUCACCCGAAGUCCGUGGCCUAACCGUAAGGAAGGAGCGGCCGAAGGUGAGGGGGGUAAGGAGCACUAAGUCGUAACAAGGUAACC
rnacentral:rRNA from 1 species